UGUGAACCUUACCUCUUGCCGCGCGUUGCCUCGGCGGGGUAGGCGGGGCUCGGGUUCGACGCGGGCUGUACUUUGACAACCCCCCCGGCGUGGCCCUCCCGGAGGCAAUGGCAUGCAAUAUGGUCUUCUCGCCGGCGUGAGUGCAUCGUCCAACUCUCUUUCCACGGCCCUCUACAUCCGACGUCAAAAGCGCCAGCUGAAGCUCGACGCCGUGUCCCGCCACCCCGCCCGUCUUGAAACACGGAAAUUCAUUGAAUCAUCGAAUCUUUGAACGCACAUUGCGCCCGGCAGCAAUCUGCCGGGCAUGCCUGUCCGAGCGUCAUUUCUUCCCUCGAGCGCGGCUAGCCCUACGGGGCCUGCCGUCGCCCGGUGUUGGGGCUCUACGGGUGGGGCUCGUCCCCCCCGCAGUCCCCGAAAUGUAGUGGCGGUCCCCCCGCGGCGCCCCCUGCGUAGUAGAUCCUACAUCUCGCAUCGGGUCCCGGCGAAGGCCAGCCGUCGAACCUUUUAUUUUCAUGGUUUGACCUCGGAUCANGUAGGGUUACCCGCUGAACUUAAGCAUAUCUAUAAACGGAGGAAAAAAAACCAACAGGGAUUGCCUUAAUAACGGCGAGUGAAGCGGCAACAGCUCAAAUUUGAAAUCUGGCCCCCUUUGGGGGCCCGAGUUGUAAUUUGAAGAGGAUGCUUUUGGCGAGGCCCCCUCCCGAGAUCCCUGGAACGGGACGCCGCAGAGGGUGAGAGCCCCGUACGGUCGGACGCCGAACCUCUGUACAGCUCCUUCGACGAGUCGAGUAGUUUGGGAAUGCUGCUCAAAAUGGGANGAAAUCCCCUUCUUAAGCUAAAUAUGGCCACAAACCGAUAGCGCACAUUUAUAGUGCUUUCUAUGAUGUAGAACACUUUUUAGAAGAGUCGUUAUAAAGCACGUUUNAAUUGUUUAUAUCGGUAGAGAC
rnacentral:sRNA from 1 species